GAAGGAAGUUUAAAAGGGACGGUAUUGUGUCUCUGAUGGCUCAUGUUGUUGGUGCUUUUUGCAGGGUUACUUUUUCUCUGAGAGGGUUUUGUAGCUUUUUUAGUGCAAAGUUUCACCCUUGAAAAGUUCCCUGGAAACAAAAGCUGCUUUUUUUACCAUCUCUUUCUCUAUCUCUCACACUUUCUUUCUCUGUUCUAUCUAUAUCUAUGUAUCUUGGAGGUGCUCAGAAGCUUCACAAAACCAUUCAACAACAGUACCAUUAAUUAAUACAGAAGGAGACAUGUCAAAUAAGGAUCCGGGUAUUAGGCUCUUUGGCAGGAAGAUUCCGUUGCCGGAAUCUCAGAUUCCGGCCAGUUCUCAGAUGGGAUAUCAGAUUCAGGCCAACUCUGCAACCAUGCUUAAAUUUCAGAAUGCUUACAAUGGCUUAAAGAAAAAAGAAGUUGAAAUACCCUGUACUGAAAACUCUGAGCAACCAGAGAAUUAUUCUGAUUCAACGGAUAGAAAACAAGAGACACUACAUAAUGAUCGGCAGGAAAAUGAGUCAAAAGUAAAUUCCAAAACAGUGGAAAAUAAUACAGAGAGUAGCAGUACAGAUCAAGAUAAAAUCUUCAAGAAACCAGACAAGAUUCUGCAUUGUCCUCGAUGCAACAGUUUAGACACCAAAUUCUGUUAUUUCAAUAACUACAAUGUGAAUCAACCUCGGCAUUUCUGCAAGAACUGCCAAAGGUAUUGGACUGCAGGUGGAACCAUGAGAAAUGUUCCAGUGGGUGCGGGGAGACGAAAGAACAAGCACCUAGCUUCUCAAUACCGGCACAUUAUUGUAUCUUGUGACGGAAUUCCAACUACAAGUGACUCUUCUUGUCACCAACUUGCCACAACACUUCAAUCUGCUGCUGUUUUCAGGUCUUCAACAGAUAAUGGUACUGUGUUGAAAUUUUGUCCGGAUGCCCCUCCUCUUUGUGAAUCCAUGGAGUCAAUGCUUAAUCUUAAAGAACAAAAUCGAAGUGCUGAUGAAAAUACUGUCAAUUAUGCAGAAAAAGGGGAGGAGGAAGUAUCCUUAUGUGGAUCAUCAUCUAUGACCAAUGCUUGCACUCCAAGAAACAAUUCAACUGAACCAACUGCAUCAAAACCUAUGCAGUGUUAUCCUGUUCCUCCGUGGAUAUUCCCUUGGAAUCCAGAUUGGAACAAUGUUGCUUCCACUGCAUCAGUUCACCCCUCUUCACUACAAAUGUGUAACCCUUAUAACAGUGCCGACCCUGCUUCAAUGCAGUGGUGUCCUACACCGAUCAUGGCAGUUCCAACAAUCUGCCCACCAAGCUUUCCCUUGCAAUUUGUUCCUGGAUCAUACUGGAGUGGACCACCUGUGUAUGGUGGUGGAACAGGAGCUGCUUCAAUGGGUUUCAAUGCCUGCCUUUCACCUACUUCCUCUACCAGUAAUAGCUGCUGCUCAGGCAACGGCUCCCCAACACUUGGCAAACACACAAGAGACAACCUUUCAACAGAUGAAGAAAAAUCAGACAUGUGUGUCUUGGCCUCAUCAGGAACCAACCCUGAAUGUGUACCAGAAGGUACUAUUUCAAAAAGGGCAAAGGCUAAAGAAGGCAAAGACCGUGUCUUAGGUGUGUCUCAAAUCUUGGAAGCUAACCCUGCAGCUAUUUCUCGUGCUCAUGCAUUUCAAGAGGGCAUGUGAUGAGUAUCUAGCCUCCACUUCCCCUUCAUAAUCCUGUGCAUAUUGCUUGGUUCACAAGCAUAAAAUUUGUUUUGCAGAGAUGCUAGCAAGUGCAGCAAUAAUACAGCGAUCCCUGCAUCACUCACCAUUUAAGUUUGAAGGUGCCUAAACGUUCACAACAGCAAGGGCUUCAAUUUGAACCGAACAAUUUCCUGUUCCGAUCGGUUCUGUAAGUUCAGCGCGGUGUGGGUACGGUCCUAAGGUGUUCUUGACCAGUUUACUGUUAAGCUUUCCAGAGGAAGGAGAGGUUUCACUGAAGCAUGUCUUAGAGGAAAAUGAAGAUGUUGCAGCUUAGACUCACUAUGAUUUCUUAGUUAUAUUAUGUCAUUUCGAGAUACUAUGUUUUGUCUUUAAAAUUUUUAAAUUCUUAGCUAUUUUGAUGGAUGACUGUAAUCCGAUUUCUCUAAAUGCACUUCUGACUGCUUUCCAGUAUUAUGAUUGAUGAUGUCUUAUUAUAUAUAUUUGUUAUAUAUUUGGG